UGGUAAGAGCAUAACAGAGGAAGUGACACUGGCUGUGGCAACAUGUCCUUCCUUCUUGUGGGCAGGUUGAGAGUGGGGGAGGGUGUAGGAUGUAGGUGUGAUGGAGAUUUCAGUUCAGUUCUCUCUCACAGCUUCGUAGACAACAGGCGUAGACUAACAAUGAAAUGCGUACUUACGGGUCUUUUUCCAACAGUGCAGUUCAAGAUGCAAAAGACUAAUAGUUAGACAAUGAAUAAAUACACAGUGAGUGUGAGAGAGUUUGAGAGAGAGAGUUUGAGAGAGAGAGAGAGAGAGGCCCCUCCCAGCCACAGGCUCUCUCCUCCCCGUGUGUGUGGAGCUGAGUUGUGUGCUGAGAGGAGCGCAAGUGCCAAACUGUGUGCAGCGGCAGGACAGGUGAGGGAGCAGAGCAGCACUGCCUACACUUCUUCAAAGACCGAGAGAGAGAAAGAGAGGAGUGAGACAAAAGAAAGUGAGAGUGUCAGUCCCAGAGACGUGCGCCCCUGUCAGAAUGCUGAGAAGAAAGAGGAGUGUAUCCUUUGGGGGAUACGGCUGGAUUGACAAGGUCCACACAUCGCAGCUCUGAAAGGCCGGUCAGUGUGGAUUUGCUGAUGGACCAAGCGGGCGAUGCUCCUGCGGAUAUGAGAGGCUGUCAACAACUCCCUCCCCCCUCUCUCCCUCCUUUCUAGCCUCCUCGUUCCCCUGCCACAACAAAGAGAGCUCUCUGCAUUCAAUUGCACCCAAAGCACACCACCUCAUUAAUAUCGCUAUAAUCAGGGCUGAGUGUGUGUUUGUGUGUGUUUGUGUGUGUUUGUGAGGAGAUAGUGAGGACAGACAGAGGGUUGAAAGGAGGAGUGGAGGUCGGGUAACUCGCACCGUGCAAAGAUGCCUCGCAAAAUGUG
rnacentral:lncRNA from 1 species